GGGAAGUCCUCGUGUUGCAUCCCUC
rnacentral:siRNA from 1 species